CUCUCGCAGACACUUCAGUAUGAAUGGUGGAGCUGCAUGGGACAUCCCUUGUGCAGCAAUUAAAGUUAUGGAGGACAGACAGACAGAGAGGGAGAGAGGGAGAGAGGGGGCUCGCACAUGGUUUGCUAGAUGUUCAAGAUGAUUUUUAUCCCGCAGUGCAAAAGUUUGAAAGUGAAAGAAAACUUGUCAGUGUUGGUGCUUAGUGCGCGCCUCACAAAUGUUGACCGAGUUGAAAAAGAAAAGAAGUGCAAAGUUUGCGCCUGACCGCCAGUGAUGUGGGUUUGCAGUGAAGACUUUCUGAUGAAGAGCAGGAUGAAGACUGACAAACUGGACGAAGGCAGAGGAUUGAGAAACGUCUCACUGCAGGACUAUCAGGCUGGUUUCCACCACACUCACACAUCCUGACAGCAGAUAGGGGAAACAAAGCUCAACCGUUGAGAUGUUGCUGAGUCAGCCAUGACAUCAUCAUGAGAUGUGUGAGCGGCGACCACAGGCAGCGACAGACGAGGAGCGCUCUGUGUCGUGGUUUGCAGCUGCUGGUUCUUGGCAAAAUAAAAGUGCUGUGCUGUUGCCUCAGGGAAAAAUGUUCUCAAAUGUUGAAAGGAAGAACAAAUUCAAGAGGUUUUGAAAAAGGGCAGUAAGUAAGUUUUUUAUUUUUGUUGUUAUUGUUGCAUUGCUCCAAAUGACCAUAAAACACCUGCAGGAGGUUAAUCGUGUCGUUAAUUGUGCAGGUGCUGAGGUUUUUUAGCUUUCCCGACUCUUUCCGGCUUGUGGGCUGUUUUGGCUCCAAACUCUCCACACCCAGUGAAGUCAUGCUGUUGAAAUCCCAGCUUGUGGUGAACGCAGCAAGUAACACGAGUCACAUGUUACUCAACCUCUGGAGUAACAUCUUUCUCUUUAGAGGCGAGCUGAGAAAGCCAGUUAUUAAUAUUUGAGUGAUUUCCAGGCCUCCGUAGACUUUUGUAUUUUGUCUCUUAGAUUGAUCUGCUGUACUUGUGUGUAUAAAUAAUUAAACUAUAUUUUUACAACCAUGA